UACGGGGGAUGCAAGCGUUAUCCGGAAUCAUUGGGUGUAAAGCGCCUGUAGGUUGUUUGAUAAGUCUGUUGUUAAAGCCUAGGGCUUAACCCUAGAAAAGCGAUGGAAACUACCAGACUAGAGUAUGGAAGGGGUAGAGGGAAUUUCUAGUGUAGCGGUGAAAUGCGUAGAUACUAGAAAGAACACCAGAAGCGAAAGCGCUCUACUGGGCCAGUACUGACACUCAGAGGCGAAAGCUAGGGUAGCAAAAGGGAUUAGAUACCCCUGUAGUCCUAGCCGUAAACGAUGGAUACUAGAUGUUGUGCUCCGCAGUAUCGUAGCUAACGCGUUAAGUAUCCCGCCUGGGGAGUACGCUCGCAAGGGUG
rnacentral:rRNA from 1 species